rnacentral:ncRNA from 2 species
GCAUACCAGGCGUUAGAUGGUGCUUCUCAAAAGAAGCUAAGAGGGAAGCUGGUGUAAAUCCAGCACUAUACCCGUAACUGUUAGCUAGGAGCUAAUGGCCAAUAUGUCACUGAGGUCCAAACCUUGGGAAGACGGUCAGAAGCGUUGAUUAGUAAGUCAGGAAACCUGCCGUCGCGUCGUUCGUCCG